UCUUAAAAAAAAAAACGUAUUUUUGGCCAAAAAUCGGAUCGGCUGGCCCAGUGUGCGGCGCACAGGCAGUCCGUGAGCGGUAGAGCUGGAGAACAAUCGAUGGAAACAUCGAUAGUAUCGAUUGUCUCAAAGUUUCGUGAAAGUCGAUUGUUUUUUCUCACUAUCGAUGGUUUUCCUUUUUUUCUUUUCCCAUCACUUUUUUAGCGGGAGUUGGCAAGCGAACAAGUGAAUUAAUAUCUUAAAAGUGGUGGUGUUGGUGCUGGCAGUGGCCUGAAAUGGAUUAUGGACAAGUUUCUCAAAACAUCAGCAAACAAACUAUGCGAGCCUGAGGCUACAAGUCCUAAGCGUCAAGAGGAAGCUUCGAGUCCUAAGCGUCGAGGGGAAGCUACGAGCAAAAUAGACAUUUUUGCCGUUUUUUUUAUUUAUUUAUUUUUUUUUUUUAAAUCACCGAUAGUCCAUCGAUUGUUUUUCUAAAACAAUCGAAAACCAUCGAUGGUCCCACCAACGAUUGUUCUCCAGCUCUAAUUUUCGACCAUAUAUUUAUGGAAAUCACUUUACAAUUAAAGCAGAUCACAGACCAUUAAUAUAUCUAUUUUCAAUGCUAAAUCCGAGUUCCAAACUGACACGUAUGAGGCUAGAGUUAGAAGAGUAUGAUUUCACAUACUAUGUUUAUGCUAAGGGUUUCAUGAUUUCUUAAAAGCGUGAAAUAAAAUUUGCUCCUGUUUAUGCGACACAGCCGAAUUCAUGCUUUUUAUCAAUCUCAGCUGACAGAGAUGCCGGACCGGUGGAAAAAGGUGUUAGCGAUUAUAAAACCGAUUAUUUUUUUUCGAUUCGCAUGAAAUAAUCUUGCUUGUAUUAAAGAUAAAGUGUGUGCAAGCCAGUA